rnacentral:rRNA from 1 species
GUCAAUCGGAAUGGGGANCAUUUUAAACCCUUUAANGGAGUANUUUAUGNAAAGGCCAAGUCUGGNUGCCANCAACCGCGGUAAUUCCNAGCUUCUCCAAAGGGCAAANAAUUAUUGCUUGCGGUUAAAAAGCUCGUAGUUGGAUCUGUGCCAUAGGACGUGGUCCACCUUCGGGUGCGUACUACGCUCCUAGGCUUUUUGCUGGUUUUCCCGUCGGUAGCCUUCACUGGUUGCGGCGGGUGGCUGGCGAGUUUACUUUGAGAAAAUCAGAGUGCUCAAUACAGGCGUAUCGCUUGAAUGAUUGUGCAUGGAAUAAUAGAAAAGGAUUUCGGUCCUCUUUUAUUGGUUUUGUGGACUGAGAUAAUGGUUAACAGGGACAAACGGGGGCAUUCGUAUCUCUGCGUGAGAGGUGAAAUUCUUGGACCGUAGAGAGACGCCCUACUGCGAAAGCAUUUGCCAAGAAUGUCUUCAUUAAUCAAGAACGAAAGUCAGAGGUUCGAAGGCGAUCAGAUACCGCCCUAGUUCUGACCGUAAACGAUGCCAACUAGCGAUCCGCCGGUGGAUUUUUAGCCCUGGUGGGUAGCUUCCCGGAAACGAAAGUCUUCCGGUUCCGGGGGAAGUAUGGUUGCAAAGCUGAAACUUAAAGGAAUUGACGGAAGGGCACCACCAGGAGUGGAGCCUGCGGCUUAAUUUGACUAAGGGC